AAAACGCCCUCGCCGACUUAGGAAGUCAUGAUUGCUCUUUACACGGCAGCUUUUGAUCCAGAAGACGCCACAGCUUCGGAACUUCUGGGUCUUUUGCCGGCGCUUUCGCAUUUGCACGAUCGACGCCACAGCCUUCAAGCGCAGUCCA
rnacentral:lncRNA from 1 species